rnacentral:rRNA from 1 species
UACGUAGGGGGCAAGCGUUGUCCGGAUUUAUUGGGCGUAAAGAGCGUGUAGGCGGCCAGGUAGGUCAGCUGUGAAAACUCGAGGCUUAACCUCGAGACGCCGGCUGAAACCCUCUGGCUAGAGUCCGGAAGAGGAGAGCGGAAUUCCUGGUGUAGCGGUGAAAUGCGCAGAUAUCAGGAAGAACACCAGUGGCGAAGGCGGCUCACUGGUCCGGUACUGACGCUGAGGUGCGAAAGCGUGGGGAGCAAACAGG